AUAAUUAAAAUAUAUAAUAUAUAUUAUUAUAUAUAAUUAAAAUAGCUAGGGCUACUAUACUCUUAUGAGUAUAGAUAUUUUUAUACUCAUAAGUUUUAGACCGUUGGAUGAAGGGAUGUAUGGUUUGGAUGAUAAUGGUCUCCGGUUAGGAUAAUAGUGGUCUCUUGAGGUUGAGUGAGCGAUUGGUUGAAUAGUACCGUUUAACGGAUGGAAAUGAUCAAAAAGGUAAAUCUAACGGCCGAAAACUUAUGAGUAUAAAAAAAAAUAUACUCAUAAGAGUAAAGUAGCCGAACUCUAAUUAAAAUAUAUAUUAUAUAUAAUUAUAUAUUUAUAAUUAUUUUUAAUAUAUAUAUAGCUUUUCGAGUCUAAUUUGAGUGAAUCCGGUAAUACUUAAGUUCGACCUGAAAUAAAUUUUGAGUUUUUUUUUAUUCAAGCUCGACUUAUUUAAUUUUG
rnacentral:lncRNA from 1 species